ACGCUGGCGGCGUGCCUAAUACAUGCAAGUAGAACGCUGAAGGAGGAGCUUGCUUCUCUGGAUGAGUUGCGAACGGGUGAGUAACGCGUAGGUAACCUGCCUGGUAGCGGGGGAUAACUAUUGGAAACGAUAGCUAAUACCGCAUAAGAGUAGAUGUUGCAUGACAUUUGCUUAAAAGGUGCAAUUGCAUCACUACCAGAUGGACCUGCGUUGUAUUAGCUAGUUGGUGGGGUAACGGCUCACCAAGGCGACGAUACAUAGCCGACCUGAGAGGGUGAUCGGCCACACUGGGACUGAGACACGGCCCAGACUCCUACGGGAGGCAGCAGUAGGGAAUCUUCGGCAAUGGACGGAAGUCUGACCGAGCAACGCCGCGUGAGUGAAGAAGGUUUUCGGAUCGUAAAGCUCUGUUGUAAGAGAAGAACGAGUGUGAGAGUGGAAAGUUCACACUGUGACGGUAUCUUACCAGAAAGGGACGGCUAACUACGUGCCAGCAGCCGCGGUAAUACGUAGGUCCCGAGCGUUGUCCGGAUUUAUUGGGCGUAAAGCGAGCGCAGGCGGUUAGAUAAGUCUGAAGUUAAAGGCUGUGGCUUAACCAUAGUACGCUUUGGAAACUGUUUAACUUGAGUGCAAGAGGGGAGAGUGGAAUUCCAUGUGUAGCGGUGAAAUGCGUAGAUAUAUGGAGGAACACCGGUGGCGAAAGCGGCUCUCUGGCUUGUAACUGACGCUGAGGCUCGAAAGCGUGGGGAGCAAACAGGAUUAGAUACCCCUGGUAGUCCACGCCGUAAACGAUGAGUGCUAGGUGUUAGACCCUUUCCGGGGUUUAGUGCCGCAGCUAACGCAUUAAGCACUCCGCCUGGGGAGUACGACCGCAAGGUUGAAACUCAAAGGAAUUGACG
rnacentral:rRNA from 1 species